GCCAGAUGCAGCUGGUCAGUCAUACAGCAAGCAGAGGAGGGCCUGGAGCGCACCCAACCUGCAGGCCAAGCCGAGGUCCUGUGGGGUGGGACGCUCCUCCCUGGGACCCCUUCAGGAAGACCCGAGCGACAGCCUGCUGCCGGCGGUGCCCCUGGGCCGCUGGGCACAAGUGGCCUUGUGACCAGGGCGGUGGCCUCCCAGGAGAUAGGCACAAGGUGGUCAGGCUCCUCUGUCCGUGGUAUGUUCCUGGCAAGAACACUGGAGUCGGUUGCCAUUUCCUCCUCCAGGGGAUCUUCCCGACCCAGUGAUCGAACCCAAGUCUGCCGCGUUUCUUGCACUGGCAAGUGGAUUCUUUGCCACCUGGGAAGCCACGUCUGCCAAAGUGGACGCCGAAACUAAGCAGCGAAUAUGCCGGGAGUCAGGGGCUUGAUCAAGAUGGACUUGGAUUUUAUUGGUAACACCUUGAAUUUUAUGACACUGCUCAAGAAUUACUGUGUGAUCUCAAAUAAAAAUGUAAAUUGCACGCUUCUUGCAAAGGCGUGGGGAGAAUUACACCCUAAGAGCCUAGCACAGCCCUGCCCUCCUAACCUGCUCCUCCUCAGCACCUGCGUUCCAACAACCGGCCCGGAGCCAGGCCAUUUAUUCACUCAACAAGCUGGUGCUGCUGCCUCCUCUGCUGCCUCGGCCUGGACUCUGGGUCAGAGGCGGUUCCAAAGUGGGCCUGGCGUGGCAUGGAGAGUCUCCCAGCCCCAGGGGACAUGGCAGGUGGACUUGAUGCCCAGCCUCGCUUCCACAUGUGUCUUCUAAAUCUUUGGAGGUGCCAAAAAAAAAAAAAAACAGCAAUAAUAUUUUUCAUGCCAAACACCCAUGAAUAAACAUUUUCUUCCAAAGAGACAAUUUGUGGGACUUCCCUGGCAGUCCAGUGGUUAAGACACCGAGCUUCCACUGCAGGAGGAAUGGGGUCAAUCCCUGGUCAGGGAACUAAGACCCUGAGUGCCUCUCAGCAUGACCAAAAAGUAGAGAAAAAGAAAAUUUGUCAGACCAAGAUUGAUUAGCCAAACAGUUAAACACAACAAAACUAAAGUUUUUUUCUGGAAAAACCCAAAAGAAGUUUUUGGCCAACUCAAUAUAUUAGUAAGGGAUGGGAUGUGUGUGUGCUCCGUCGUGUCCCAGCACCCAGAGCAGUGAAGUUACAGGACACAGGUGGCAUGGAGAGCUCUGUCAAGUGCCUGUGACACCCCUGCAAGGUGUUCUGAACUUGAGACUCUUCUUGUUCUCUCCUGUUUAGUUGCUAAGUCGUGUCUGACUCUUGCAACCCCAUGGUCUGUAGCCCACCAGGCUCCUCUGUCCAUGGGAAUUCCCAGGCAAGAAUACUGGAGUGGGCUGCCGUUUCCUCCUCCAGGGAAUCUUCCCCACCCAGGGAUCGAACCUGUGUCUCCUGAUGGGCUGGCAGAUCCUUUACCACUGAGCCACCGAAGAUUCGGUUCUAGCAGAGGGCACCAGCAUUGACUGCAGCGCACACCAGCGUUCCGCACUUGGCCCUUCCCCACCCCACCAC
ensembl:lncRNA